rnacentral:tRNA from 1 species
AAGAAAGAAGCAUGAGUGGUUUAGUGCGGUUGGCUUGAAACCAGCUUAUGAGGGUUCGAUUCCUUCCUUUCUUG